CGUACAACGUGCUGGAUUACUGGGCGUAAGAGCGCGUAGGCGGCCAGGUAAGUCCGGUGUGGAAUCCCUCGGUUCAACUGAGGACCCGCAUCGGAAACUACCUGGCUUGAGUCCAGGAGGGGAGGGUG
rnacentral:rRNA from 1 species